AGAGUUUGAUCCUGGCUCAGAUUGAACGCUGGCGGCAUGCUUUACACAUGCAAGUCGAACGGAUUAGAGAGCUUGCUCUCUAGUUAGUGGCGAACGGGUGAGUAAUAUAUCGGAACGUACCCGGCAAUGGGGGAUAACGUAGCGAAAGUUACGCUAAUACCGCAUAUGCCCUGAGGGGGAAAGCAGGGGAUCGAAAGACCUUGCGUUGACGGAGCGGCCGAUAUCAGAUUAGCUAGUUGGUGAGGUAAAGGCUCACCAAGGCGACGAUCUGUAGCGGGUCUGAGAGGAUGAUCCGCCACACUGGGACUGAGACACGGCCCAGACUCCUACGGGAGGCAGCAGUGGGGAAUUUUGGACAAUGGGCGCAAGCCUGAUCCAGCCAUGCCGCGUGAGUGAAGAAGGCCUUCGGGUUGUAAAGCUCUUUCAGCCGGAAAGAAAACUUAGUUGCGAAUAGCAACUGAGGAUGACGGUACCGGAAGAAGAAGC
rnacentral:rRNA from 1 species